UACCCGCAGCACAAGUGGUGGUCAUUAUUAUUGGGCCUAAAGCGUCCGUAGCUUGCGUGUUAGAUGCCUGGGUAAAUCGAUGCGCUCAACGCAUCGAAUUCCGGGUAGACCGGCACGCUCGAGACCGGGAGAGGUGUAGGGUACUCGAGGGGGUAGGGGUAAAAUCCUGUAAUCCUUCGGGGACGACCAGUGGCGAAGGCGCUACACUAGAACGGCUCUGACAGUGAGGGACGAAGCCCUGGGGCGCAAACCGG
rnacentral:rRNA from 1 species